UUACCUCAACCUCUAUUGACCAACAACUACUACCUUAUACAGGAUGUCCGAUAUGUGGAAUUAUUAAGGCGUUUUAGAUGGUUGGUAAAGCCACACGUAUUGCGGUAAACGUGUAGGUGAACAGCACAGGGGUGAAUGAACCAUCAUCAGCCAAUUCCUCGUUCCAUUCACGUUUGGCCGCAGCGUUUGUUACAUAACUAAUCGUCGCGGACAAGAAGUUCCCCUCCUUCUCUGGUUGGUGAAAAACCCGCGAUCUCAAGAAGAGCGCGGUGGAGACUUCAUUCACUUCGCGCUGGAGCACCGUUUGCACCGCCGAUGGACUUCAUCUCAACAGAAGAAAGAAGCGGGACCCGCACCGUAGAAGAAGAAGUUUCUUUCUUGGUGUGAGAGCGCGUCUCACGCCACGGGACCGUGAAGAAUAGGCAAAGGCCGAGAGCGCGCCCUGAGAACGAACGUCCAGGACAAAGAGAGUAACGAACGAUCUAAAUGGAAAAAGUGGUAAUAAGAACUGAACCGAACUACUCCUGCUGGUGGUUGCUGUGUGAAGAAGAAGUCUGAGUCAUAAAACUUGUUGGAUUAUUCUCACACCUGAUGUUAUGGUGGAAUCUUAAAAUAAAUUGCAUCUUCAAUUAAA